rnacentral:lncRNA from 1 species
CAUGAUGCUUUUAUUGUACAUAGGUGUGUUACGAGACAAAAUUAUCAAUUGUGUGUUUUUGUAUUAUGCCCUCUGUUGUGCUACUUGCUAUACUGUAUCCAGUGAGUACCCCCACCCAUAUAAUUAGCACACACUAGGAAUUCUUCUUUUAUGGAGGUAAGUAAAUGAAGAUGUAUGUACGCAAUAGCCAGUUUAUUGGCUUAAAUUUCACUUUUUAAAGCAAUCUGUUAUGUUGUCUCUGAUUUGGUUUACAAACAUGUUAAUUGUUAAGUGAAAGAAAGCAAAUUCAACUAAUAUUAUUGUACAUCUGCACAAUUAGAAUGGUGAAUCUGAUGGUUACUUAACCUGACUUUAAAUCUGACUAUUUACUUGGUGGAAUGAGCUCAACAUGAUGCUGAAAAUUUUGUUCAUGAUAGAAUACUAUUUACUUGGUAGAAUACUAUUUAUCACCAUUCAUUCUCAUUGUUCAUGAUGCUGAAAAUUUUGUAGUGCAUUGGAAAGCUACUACUGCAGAAUAACCAGGCCCGUAUGAUGCAUCUGUUAUAGCACUUGGGAGUUUUGUGAUGUGUGUUUUGUUUCUUUGUCAUUUGACUUUCAUUUGACACAACUUUUCUUUGGAUUAAUUUUAAAAACCUCAUGUUUCUUCUUGUUUUAUAGUAGAUGUAAUGUUAUUCUCAUUUGUAGCAUUAUUAAGAUUUAAGAAUCUUAGAUAGCAUGUAAUUCAUUUUUAUCUUUGUUGCAAUUCUCUUAUUUCUACUAUCUAUUCAUAUCUACAAAUAUCUAAUAUUCUUGUAAAUAUGCUAGGUAAGAUUGGGUAGCAAGUUACUUGGUGUUUCCUAUCACAAUCAGCCACAACAUGAUAAUUGCCACAAGAAGGCCGAGGAUGAGAACAUGAAUAAGAGUCUUAAUAGUUUAUAUGGUUUGUUGAUGUAAAAUUGCUGGUUCCUAACCUUGAUGUGAUAUAUUUUAUCAAUCUAUGUUGUAAGUUAUAAUUUCGUAGACGAUUUUGGAGGAAUAAACUGCUAUGUUGUACAUACAUACAGUUGGCUGCAUACUCGGUGAACCGUAUAAUGUUUGACACCUUGCAAAUACUUCCUCUUGGGUCAAAGUUGGCAUUAGGAUCUAUGUGAUGCAUUAUGCUAAAAAUGUACUGGUUGAAAAUUAGGCCGAAAUAAAUGUGCUAAUAAUGGGCUCGACCCAAUUUAUA